rnacentral:ncRNA from 1 species
CCCUGCGGGAUCUGACGGGAUCCUUUAUGUAGGUCAGUUUGUCUGGGGCGGAGCUCGUCUAAAAGGAAACGAAGUGGUAAAUAUGGCAGGCUUCAGCGGGUUAGAAACCAGCAUUAAAACGUAAGAGCACAUGCCAGCCUCAAUAUGAGACUUACUAGUCGAACAGAUACGAAAAAAAGGUUCUAAUGAACUGCUAAUUUAAGUGGUUUAGUUAGCGAUCAACGAAUAAAAGUAACAUUAGGGAUAACAGGCUAGUCACGGCCAAGAGUCCACAUCUACGCCGUGGUUCGGCACCUUACUAUAUCGGGGUU